ACUACUGAAUUUAAGAAUAUUAAUAAAUGGAGGAAAAGAAACUUACAAGGAUCCCCUUAGUAACUAUGAGGGAAUUGGGAACAACCCAGCCUUAGAAUCGGGAGGCUCCACGUUUGAAUUGUAGUUUGGAGAAGUGUCCUCAGCGAUGGACUGGGCCCAAGUCCCCUGGAAGGGGGCGCCAAAGAGGAUGAGAGCCCUAUUGUGUCCAGACCCUGUCACACCACAAGGCUCUAUCUACGAGUCGGAUUGUUUGAGAAUGCAUCCCAAAUCAGGCGGUGAAUUCCAUCCAAGGUUAAAAACGGGUGUAAGACCGAUAGCAAACAAGUACCAUGAGGGAACUAUGAAAAGGACUUUGGAAAUAGAGUUAAAGAUUGCUUGAAAUUAUUGGGAGAGAAAAGGAUGGGGGCCAGCGCUGCACCCCGAUUAUAUAUGGAACGGCGAUGAGUCAGUCUACCGAUCGACUUAGGGUAUGGACCAGCAUGGAUUGGGGGGCAGCCAAAGCCUAGGCUCUCAAUAUAUUCGUGGAAUGCCAUCUCCUCAAUUGUGGUAGGCAGCGCAUGCAUAUGGCGGGCUUCGGCAUCUGCGUAAUUGAUGUUUCGGCUUUUGACAGAAUAUUUUGCAUCUUUCUUGGGAAAA
rnacentral:ncRNA from 1 species